rnacentral:rRNA from 1 species
UAGAGUUUGAUCCUGGCUCAGAACGAACGCUGGCGGCAGGCUUAACACAUGCAAGUCGAACGCGUGUAGCAAUACACGAGUGGCGCACGGGUGAGUAACACGUGGAUUAUCUGGCUUCUGGUUCGGAAUAACCCCGGGAAACUGGGGCUAAUACCGGAUGGUUCCUACGGGAUAAAGAUUUAUCGCCAGAAGAUGAGUCCGCGCCCGAUUAGCUAGUUGGUGGGGUAACGGCCCACCAAGGCGACGAUCGGUAGCUGGUCUGAGAGGACGAUCAGCCACACUGGGACUGAGACACGGCCCAGACUCCUACGGGAGGCAGCAGUGGGGAAUAUUGGACAAUGGGGGCAACCCUGAUCCAGCCAUGCCGCGUGAGUGAUGAAGGCCUUCGGGUUGUAAAGCUCUUUUGGCGGGGACGAUGAUGACGGUACCCGCAGAAUAAGCCCCGGCUAACUUCGUGCCAGCAGCCCCGGUCAA